CAAUAAGUUAUACUUUAUAUUGCACAUGUUGUACUUUGGAGAGAGAGUUUUCCCAAUUUGCAUAAAAGUCUCAUCUGCUUUUCUUCUUUGUGAUUCAGAUUAUUAUUUUCGUGUAUUCCCUGUAGUGUUCACGCCCAUCUUCUCUUGCUGUGGAGUAACCCCUUCACCAGAUGGAUUAGCUGGAAUGUUUGCGGUUGCAGUAUAAAUGAAACAUUCAUCAAGGAAAAAGGUAAUGCUCUGACAUUUUAGUAAUAAUAUGCUCAAAAGUAUAAGACUGAACCACCUAUGCUCUUCUACAUGACGGCUGAUGGCCUUUCAGGCUUUCCUUACUUGGUUUGAACAUAAAAAUGUAUAGUUACUUUAGCUGCAUUUUUAGCCGUUCAUGUUACUUCAGAUGAGUACACAUACUUCUCACACUUGAAUACGCAUUUCAUAUGUUCUGCUCAUCAAGAGAAGCACAACUCUUUCUUUUGCUCUCUAUUCUCAAUUUGAAUUACUGGAAUGUGCUAUGAGCGAAGUUUCAGUGUAUGAUUUUGCUUUUUGUAACCAAUGUAAUAAGAAUUCUGAACAUCCCCCCUCCACACCCUAAAAAAAGGGAAAAAAGAAAUUAGUUUUUGUUCCUUCAUAAAGUAAAAUAUUCUUUACUCUAUUAUUCACGACACAUCACUUUCUUUGUACCAAAAUAGGGGAUAAUGAGAAAAGAAGGUAUUUCAUAUUUUUUCUUCAAAAAAGUAAUUUUAGCUUGCAUCAACAUGUCUACUGCUAUAUUAAAAUGUGCUGACCACUUUUCUUAUUACUCAAACUAUUUGAUUCAAACUAAAAUUAAAUUGCUCUAGAUUGUUGCUUAAAUACCUAGAAAACAAAAUUAAUGUUCAUUCUAAGCUGGAUAUAAGACCCUUAUAACACAUAAGAAAUGCAUACAAAAGGCAGUUGUUGUUCGGUUUCUCUUCAAAAGGUGCAAAGUAAAAGGAGUGUCUUUAAGAGUAACUUCAUGGAGUUCUCUCACAAACUGAUAAAGAAAAAGCAAAGAGCAUUUCAGUUUUCAUGUCUUUUUCAUUAAAAUACUUCUCCAUAAAAUAAUGUUAUUAGCAAUGUUACCUCAACAGUUUGAAAAUCAAUGACUUAUGUUUCAAGCAAAAUAUUGCAUAGAAAUUUCCUUCAUCAAACCUGUUGCAUUAGUAAACUGUGCCUUUAGACCUCAAAAGUACUCUUGCUUAUUUUGUGAAGUUUCCCUGCUUCAUUAUGAAAAUGGAAUAUUAAGCAGCAGUCCUUUGAUUUUUAGUUCUUUACUUUGAACUAAUGGCUGAAGAAAAAAAGACAUCAAGACAAACAAGAAACAUUGACCAAUUAGGUGCUAUUGUGAGUCGCCAGUUUUAUGACCGUUAUGCUAAUAUGCAACACCAUAAAAGGUUAAAUAAAUCUCAGAAAUGAUUUGAAAUGCUGAUAAGUCAACCACUUAUAAUGGAGAAAGACCAGAAUCAUAUAAAAAACUGAAUCUAACGGUAAACAUUCAUUUUUUUCCUUCAAAAAAAUCACUCAAGUCCCCACUAUGGGACCUUGAAGGUGGAUUUUAUAUCAUCAGAGAUUGGUACAGUUAGACGAGGGCAAAACCAAGCCUCUGAAAGUGUUACAUCAGCUACAAUUAGAUCAUCUGAAUAAGGUACCUCAGUACUGGUGCUUUAUGUUAUUCGGACUGUCCGAAAAUGUCAUCAGGUGAGUGUCAGAUCCUCCAAAAGUAGUGUAUUUUUGAAGGAUACGAUAUUUUGGAGAGUAUGAGCAAUGUAGCUGAAAAGAAUUAACACAAUACUUCAUUAUGUCCUGUAAUUAUGGUGCGAUCCCAAAAGGACAAGAAUCAUAAUUGUAGAAAAAGCUUGGCAGGAUACGCGAGAGUUUCUAUUUAUUUUUUCUUUUUAAUUCUAAACUUUGAAAGUUGUUUAACUUAAGAACAUCUAUAUUUUAAGAAAAAGCUAUAAUUCAGAGUGACAAGGGAAUAACUAAUAAGAGUUGUUAGGUCGGGGAUUGGGUCUACAUUAAUAGGCACAUGAUUGGCAACUGAUUUCCAGAAGUUAGUUUUAACAACUUCUUUUCCUCUUCUGCCCUUUGUAUAAAUAAUAAUUAGUUGAUUGUAAAGACAUUCAGUUUGUGAUGGAUCAAUAAAAGUCUUCUCCUCUUUUCUUUAAA